UUCUGGACAGAUUCUUGGCACAUUGGGGGCUCUGCUAGACCCCUAUGUUGGAGAUUGCCUAGGUUGUUUUUAUUUGUCAAUAAUGAUAGGAUCUCAGUGCAGGAAUUUCUUCAAUCCCAGGAUCUCUACUCUAUGUUUUAUUUGCCCCUUUCUCAUGAGGCUGCUGCUGAGUUACACAUGCUGGAAGGUUGGAUCAUGCAGUUAGAGAGAGACCCCACUAUACCUGAUGUUUGGAUAUGGCCUGGUCAAUCAGGAGGAUACACUGCCAAAAGUUUCUACACGAUCAUGCACUCACACCUACCUACAAUACAACCUUGCAAAUGGCUAUGGCAGAGUAAGUGCACCAUGAAGGUCAAGGUGUUCGGGUGG
rnacentral:rRNA from 1 species